GAUGAACGCUAGCGGCAGGCUUAAUACAUGCAAGUCGAGGGGCAGCAUGGUGUAGCAAUACACUGAUGGCGACCGGCAAACGGGUGCGGAACACGUACAGAACCUUCCUUCGAGCGGGGAAUAGCCCAGAGAAAUUUGGAUUAAUACCCCAUAGUAUAUUGAAAAGGCAUCUUUUUAAUAUUAAAGAUUUAUCACUUGAAGAUGGCUGUGCGGCUGAUCAGGUAGUUGGCGGGGUAACGGCCCACCAAGCCUGCGAUCAGUAACUGGUGUGAGAGCACGACCAGUCACACGGGCACUGAGACACGGGCCCGACUCCUACGGGAGGCAGCAGUAAGGAAUAUUGGUCAAUGGACGAAAGUCUGAACCAGCCAUGCCGCGUGGAGGAUGAAGGUCCUCUGGAUUGUAAACUUCUUUUAUAUGGGACGAAAAAAGGCUUUUCUAAGUCGUCUGACGGUACCAUAUGAAUAAGCACCGGCUAACUCCGUGCCAGCCGCCGCAGUAAAAC
rnacentral:rRNA from 1 species